rnacentral:rRNA from 1 species
UGCCAGCCGCCGCGGUAAUACGUAGGGUGCGAGCGUUAAUCGGAAUUACUGGGCGUAAAGCGUGCGUAGGUGGUUCGUUAAGUCUGCCGUGAAAGCCCCGGGCUCAACCUGGGAAUGGCGGUGGAUACUGGCGGACUAGAGUGCGGUAGAGGGUGGUGGAAUUCCCGGUGUAGCAGUGAAAUGCGUAGAGAUCGGGAGGAACAUCUGUGGCGAAGGCGGCCACCUGGACCAGCACUGACACUGAGGCACGAAAGCGUGGGGAGCAAACAGGAUUAGAUACCCUGGUAGUCCACG